UUUUUGUUUAAUGGUGCUACUACAGACAUAAAAACGGUUCAAAAUCAACAAUCAAUAAUUGAUUAUUCAAACAUAGCAAUUGUUAUCCGUCUUCUUGCAAUUAAAAGAACAAAAAUCAAGUCUAGGGGUUUUGGUUCGUUCAAACUUGCAGUUCUUGAUCAUAAUAAACUAUCUACAUACAAAAUUUAUUCAUCGUUUAAGCUAUUCGGAGCAGUUAAAGAUAUCCAUUUUUUUGUAGAAAAGGACAAACGUUAUGCUUAUUGCUGGGUCUAUGUUGAAUUUUAUGAAUCUCAAAGUGUUGAUGCAGCAUUGUUAAAACAACAAAUAAAAAUUGGAGACGAUAUAUUCAAAAUAAAACGAACUAAAUGUAAAUUUUAGAAUUUUGGUAGAGUGAACGAGAAAAUCAAUAUUUAUGAAAUAUUAUUGCAAGCACCAGAUGAAAAUUCACCAAAAAAAAUUCUCAACAUUCUGAAUGAUGAUUGCUUAAGGAAAAUAUUCGAGCAAUUACCUUUUCAAGACCAAUGUUCAGUGUUAAGCGUUUGUGUUCGUUUCUAUAAGAUUUCUAAGGAAUGUUUGGCAAAAAAACAAAAGAAUUGUGCAUACAAAAGCAACAUGGAUAUUUUAGUGGAGACUUUGCUAUCAUUACCAUUACAACAAGCAAAUGAUUAUUUACGUGAUUUUGGUCCAACCAUUUAUGAAAUAGAUGUCAAAAAAAUGACGUAUCUAAAGUGGGAAGAAAAAAAGCAAAUCUUUUUGGGAAUGAUUAGCAAACAUUGCAAGAAUAUUCGUAAAGUCGAUUUAUCUUACGAUCAAUCUUAUUUAAUAGAUAUACAUAGGUUUAGCGAAUUGAUUCCAUUAUUUACGCGUUUGGAGACGUUACAUGUGGAGCUUUCAUACAGGCUAGCACACAGUUGUCUUGAUUCUUUAUUACCCAUUUGCUCUCAACUAAGUGCACUGAGUCUAGAUGAUUUUUGGUGUAAAUAUCCUCUACCACCAAUUAAUUUACAGAAAUUAGUGGCAUUUAGAAUUGAUUUUUCUCCACCGACAAAAGAUUCGUACAUAUCUUCUUUGAUUUUUUUUUAUCCCUUAAUACUCAACUUGAAGUUUUCUCAUAUACCAGCGAUUGUUGGAUUUUCUAUGAUUACGAGUCUGGGAAACAUGAUUCAGUGAUUGGUCAACUAAAACGUUUGAAAAUUUUAGAAAUUCGACACUAUGCAAAUAAAAAAUGUAUGAUUAUACAUUUGAUACGAGAAUUGUUGUCAAACAAUGUGCCAAUAGAACAUUUAAAAUUAGAUUACUAUAUGAAGAUUGAUAAUGAAGCUGUUGAGUAUAUUUCCCAAAUGAAAACUAUUAAAAAGUUAGAAUUUAAUACAGUAUGGUAUAUGUCAGAGUUCAUAGCGGCAUCAUUUUUGGCGGCGUAUGCACGCUUAGAUCAAGCUCUUGUGGAGAUCUUACGGAUCUAUCCUAUCCAAAAAAAAACAAUGUAUGAAUAUAUUAUAAUGGCAAAUGCCAUUUGAUUUGCGAUGAACAGUAUACGUCACGGACGAAACAAUUUACUGUGUUGUUGUUUGAUGAAAUGUAAAUUGUUGUGUCAACAAAUCUCCAUGAGUUUCAUAUUGGCCCAUACAGAAUGCAUCAUUUCCCAUACAAAAUACUUUGGGGUCCAAAAGACCCCGUUGUGCUUUUACGUUAGUAUUUUGUAUAAGACUUCCCAAAACUUCAUCUAUGCACCAAACAUUUAAAUUUUCGAUUGUAUCUCAUAGAUAUGAUAUUGAAAAUGUGAUUUUCUUCAAAAAAUUAACUCUUAGGGCCUAAGAGACCCCACAUGUGCGUUUGAAGGUUAAAGGAAUUUCGGUUCACUCCGCUCGCCAAAUUAUAUCUAUUUCUUCAGUUUAUUUAACGUAUCAAUACGAUUAUGUUAGAUUAAAGAUUUAGACACCACCACACACUCUAUAUUACUUGAGAAACGCAAACUCAAUUGAUUAUUUGAAAAAUCCACAUCGAUAUCACUGUUCGAAAUAAAUAUUGAUAUUUAAGAGUUAUUAAAUGUAUCCAGUUUUUUUUAUUUGUAAACGUUUGGAAUAACCUUCUCAAUAUGGAAUUGGAGGAAAAAUGUCAUCUCCAAUUCGACCAUGGUCCAACUGUUAACAUUUUAAUGAGAAAUGAAAUGAUAGACCAAGAGCCACCGUGCAAAUUACUUUUUUUUCUGUGUACGGCAGAUUUUCAUGAAAUUAUCAUCUUCACACUGUGUACUAUCCGAAUAAUAUCACUUUUUUCAUUGUAAUUGGGCGGAUCGCGAGAUCCGCGGUUUUAUUCGCGCUACACGAAAUAGUAUACUUUUUUCGCACCAAUACGGCAGAUUUUUGUGUUAAAUUCUUCGUUUUGAUCCAACUAUAUUGAAAAGUAAAAAAUCUGCCCAAAUGAGUGGGCAAAUUGUUCAAAAAACAACAAAAUAAACAAUAAUAUGACACUACCAUUACUCAACGAAACACAAAUGUCAGUUGAUACAAUGGGUGCGUUCAAUACCUUGUGUCAAAUUCAUCAAUAUUAUUGUUUAUUUUGUUGGUUUUUGAACAAUUUGCCCACUCAUUUGGGCAGAUUU